rnacentral:rRNA from 1 species
GCUUAACACAUGCAAGUCGAGCGAGAAUCGUUUAUUGAAGGCUUCGGCUGGAAAUAGAUGAGGAAAGCGGCGAACGGGUGAGUAACGCGUGGGCAACCUGGCCUUAAGAAAAGGGUAGCCCCCGGAAACGGGGAGUAAUACUUUAUGAGAAUGAGAGAGGGCAUCCUACUUUCAUUCAAAGCGCAAGCGCUUAAGGAUGGGCCCGCGUAUCAUUAGCUAGUUGGUGAGAUAACAGCCCACCAAGGCAACGAUGAUUGGCCGGUCUGAGAGGGCGAACGGCCACAUUGGAACUGAGAGACGGUCCAAACUCCUACGGGAGGCAGCAGUGGGGAAUAUUGCGCAAUGGAGAAGAACUCUGACGCAGCAAUACCGCGUGAGCGAAGAAGGUCUUCGGAUCGUAAAGCUCUGUUAUCAGGGAAGAAGAAAAUGACGGUACCUGGUGAGCAAGUCCCGGCUAACUACGUGCCAGCAGCCGCUGUAA